rnacentral:rRNA from 1 species
UACGAAGGGGGCAAGCGUUGUUCGGAAUCACUGGGCGUAAAGGGCGCGUAGGCGGUGCACUAAGUCAGGCGUGAAAGCCCUGGGCUCAACCCGGGAACUGCGCUUGAUACUGGUGCGCUUGAAUCCAGGAGAGGUUGGUGGAAUUCCCAGUGUAGAGGUGAAAUUCGUAGAGAUUGGGAAGAACACCGGUGGCGAAGGCGGCCAACUGGACUGGUAUUGACGCUGAGGCGCGAAAGCGUGGGGAGCAAACAGG